CCUACGGGUGGCAGCAGUGGGGAAUAUUGCACAAUGGGGGAAACCCUGAUGCAGCGACGCCGCGUGAGUGAAGAAGUAUCUCGGUAUGUUAAGCUUCAUUAGUAGGGGAGAAAAAAGACGGAACCUGACUCAGAAGCCCGGGCCAACUACGUGCCAGCAGCCGAGGUAAUACGGAGGGGGCAAGCGUUAUCCGGAUUUACUGGGUGUAAACGGAGCGUAGGCGGAGAAGCAAGUCUGAAGUGAAAGCCCGUGGCUUAACCACGGGACUGCAUUGGAAACUGGUUGACUAGAGUGCUGGAGAGGUAAGUGGAAUUCGUGGUGUAGCGGUGAAAUGCGUAGAUAUUACGAGGAACUCCGAUGGCGAAGGCAGCUUACUGGACAGUAACUGACGUUGAGGCUCGAAAGCGUGGGGAGCAAACAGGAUUAGAUACCCUAGUAGUC
rnacentral:rRNA from 1 species